rnacentral:lncRNA from 1 species
GGUGAGGCUCAUGAAGAAGACUAUAUUAGUUACAGAAAAAUAAGCUUUAUUUCCUUUACAUAUAUAAGACGCAUGUAUUUGCCACUACCUGACAUAAGAUGUUAGAAGUUGAGAGACAGAUACUAGGAGGUGGAAUCCAGCCACCUAAAUUCCAGAGGAGCUGAAAGAAAGCAAGGAUCUGCAAUUUGGUGGGUGCAGAUCUAAACAUACCAACAGAGAUACCCUCUGCAGUUGAUGAAUAUGAAACUGAGGAUGCAAUGAUAUUAUUCAAAUAUACAGGCAUCAGAACUGUUCUGACCCUAAAAUUAUUUGGUAAGUGUUUCCUCUUUUAAAUGUUUCUGAUAGAUAUUGUGUAGUAGUCAUGCAAUUCCUUCUUUAAUACUACAUACUGCCGAGGCCUUGGAAUAAAGG